ensembl:rRNA 5S_rRNA 5S ribosomal RNA
GCAUGCUGAUCCCUUGUGAUUUGAAGCUAAGAAGGUUUGGGCCUAAUUAGUACUUAGAUGGGAGACCGCCAGAGACUAGGAAGGGCGUGCA